rnacentral:rRNA from 1 species
GUACUGCGAGUGAACCGGGAAAAGCUCAAAUUUAAAAUCUGGCAGUCUACCUUUUCUUCUUUGGCUGUCCGAGUUGUAAUCUAGAGAAGUGUUACCCGUGCUGGACCAUGUAUAAGUCUCCUGGAAUGGAGCGUCGUAGAGGGUGAGAAUCCCGUCUUUGACAUGGACUUGCCAGUGCAUAGUGGUGCGCUCUCAAAGAGUCGAGUUGUUUGGGAAUGCAGCUCUAAAUGGGUGGUAAACUCCAUCUAAAGCUAAAUAUUGGCGAGAGACCGAUAGCGAACAAGUACCGUGAGGGAAAGAUGAAAAGGACUUUGGAAAGAGAGUUAAACAGUAUGUGAAAUUGUUGAAAGGGAAACACUUGAAGUCAGUCAUGUCUCCUAGGGAUCAACCUGUCUCUUUUUGGUGGGUGAACUUCCUAGUGUGACAGGUCAACAUCAGUUUUGACUGUUGGAAAAGAGCAGAGGGAAUGUGGCACCUUUGGGUGUGUUAUAGCCUUCUGUCAUAUGUAGCAGUCGGGACUGAGGAAUUGCAGCGCGCCGCGAGGCAGGGUCUUUGACCACGUUCGCGCUUAUGAUGUUGGCGUUUAAUGGCUUUAAUUGACCCGUCUUGAAACACGGACCAAGGAGUCUAACAUGCCUGCGAGUAUUUGGGUGUGAAAACCCUUGUGCGCAAUGAAAGUGAAAGUUGAGAUCCCUGUCGCGGGGAGCAUCGACGCCCGGACCUGAGCUUUU